ensembl:lncRNA
GACUUACAGACAGCUUGUGUAACUCUUCAGCAGCGAAAUAUGAUGCCUCACCAGCAGCUUACACACGCUUUAGCUUUCUAGAUAGAUAGAUAGAUAGAUAGAUAGAUAGAUAUAUAGAUAGAAUAUUCUCAGCUUGCAAAAAUAUGUAAUUGUCAGCAACUACUAAUGAAAGCUCUUUUGUGCAUCUGAUGUGGUUGGAAAAGGUCAUAAAAAUGAAUGGGCGAAUGUAGAACCAGAUAAAAGGAAAUGUUCGACAGGAUCAGUUCGCGGGAAACUUCCGGUUGACCAGUGUGUGUGUGUGUGUGUGUGUGUGUGCAACGUGUGCAGCUUGAACUGGUGGGUGCACAAGAGCACGUCAUUUUCGCGGUAAUAUCUUGCAACUGGCAAUGCAACAACAACAGCGCUCUGCAGAAGAGUCGGAUUAUGAAAAUGUUUGUAAAAACAUGGCAACGUAGUUUUUUAACCUUUUUAGCACUGUGUUGGACCUCCUUUAAGGCGAUGGUUUGCAGUAAAGUGAGAGGGGGAAACUUUAAAAGGUAAGUAGCUUUUAUGAAACUAUAGCGUUUCCCUCCAUUUUUAUCUUUAUAACAAAAAAUAAUAUUGUACUUGCAGCCAUUACGAACAUACAGCAGUUCGGGUUAUUUAUAGUACUUUAUUGGUUAUUAUAAUCUAGUUUUAUAUUAGACUAAUUACAAGUAUUUAAUUUAUGUGCACCUCGUGUUUCUGCCAAAUCGACGUUAGGUAGCAUAUAAAUUACAAUUAUAUAUUGUUUAAUACAUCAGAAAUUCGGUCAGAACAAAUGUUAGUUUUUAGUAUAAUUACACUCAAACAACUAACGUUAAAUUAAUUUUGUUAACGAUUUAUUGUGUGAGGCGAUCUGGUACAGACUCCUCCUCCUGACGGUACAGACACGUCAGAGGGGGGCGUUCGUUCGCUGUUCGCGGGAAAUCCAAAUGCGUUCGUGUUGUGAUUCUAGACAAAACGAAACACCGAACUUUAAACAACAAAUAGGAAUGAAAUUCAGUAUGGAAAGCAGCAACACAGCUAUAAUAUUUGGAUUUUUAUGGUGGCUUCUAAGAAUAGCCGGGAGAUUCCUGUGCUGCUGUGGACAUGACAACUCUGAAGUUCAGCUCUCAGUUGAAGAAACGGCGCCAUUUCUUGAUGUAAGCACUGUACGACCAUGGGAUUAUGGUAAAGGUGGAGGUAUUAUCAGGACGGUUUAGACAGAACACUUGGAUCAAGAUUAAGAAAAGGCUUUAAGUUUAGCAUUUAUACGAUGGAGGAUUGGCACCCUUGAAAUCAUUGUUUCCCCAGCCAGAUCUGUUGCUAAUUCCCGAGAUGAGCUGAUGUCAAGGUGGGGCAGAGUUACUGACACUCUCACCCCAGUUUUAAAUAAGGAGCUCUGGACCUACAUUUGGUUUGGUCCAUGCAAAGCAGCAUUAGCAUAAUCUUACCUGUUUAAUGGUAAUAGGGAGCCCUGCCACAUGUUGUCGCUAAGAUUUAAUUUGACCCACAGUGUUGAGAUUUUUAAUGUCAAAUGAAUUCAGUCACUCAUUCAUUUCUUCUUCAUCAUAAGCAAGAAUAUCAGGGCUGGCAUACAGCACACAAUUGCGAGUGUGAUAUUCCUUUAAUACCAAAGUUCAAUAACAGUAUUUUAAAGACCAGUACGUAAGAAUAUUUCUUCUUUCAAAGAAAAUAGUUCCAAAAGAAUCAAAAGCAUCAAGCUUCCAAAUUAUGCAGACAGAAAAAGUUGUUGAUCAGCGUCAUGGUACCAUCAAAGCAGGAUUGGAUUGGUUUGGUUUUGUCAACUCAAAAAUAAUUCUGUAACCCUGAGUUUGUUCAGCCACCAUCCUGGUACAAGCCCCUGGCGUCCCCCACCUUGAGUUUGUGGAGGAUUUGUGUAAAGGUGUGAAACGUUACUAAUGUCAAAUGUUAUUGUUUUUUAAAAUAAAAGUCAUAUUUAUGUUACA